CAUCUCUCCCAGGACCCUCUGUCUUCCAGCUCCAGUCCUGGCUGAUUGUUUUCCAUGCCGGUGGCACAGACGUGGGCCUGAACUCUCCCUUCACUGUUAUCCUUGGAAUUCCUAUCAUCUCUAUCCUGUAUCGGAUCUUCUGCCUUCUGGAUUCCAUAGCUUCCUUUUCCUUGGUAUAUUUCUUUGUUUCAGUUGAGAUACAAUUUUUUUUAAUUCUGCACAUCGGAAAAAAAGAUUAUUUUAGUAUGAGAAGCAAUGUACAACUUUCUUCAGGCUCCUGACUGCCCCUCAGGUGAGGACCCGGCCUUGCUCAGAGGAGUCAAAUGUAGAGGAAGAAACAGAGGCAGAGUUUAAGAAACCGAUCUAAGGUGACAGAGCUGGGUCUUCUUUGGAACCCCUUAUCCUCUGGGCACAUGGAGCAGUCAGAAUGAAUUGGGGACUGUGAAAACUCUCUUCUAAUCUGAGAGAGCUGGAGUCAACAGAGGUCGUAGAGGAGAUCGCAGAAAAAGGCAGUUCAGACUUCACAGAAAAUAGACAUAUGCUGAAGGUGAGCAUUGGGAGACAAGUGGCGGAGCGACAGAGGGGUGGAAGACAGGGUCAGAAAAGCAGAUGUAAAGAACUUGAGAAGUGCAGGCAGAAGUCAACUGGCCUCUUUCUCCAGAUCCCCAGGCAUUAGCAAUAGUAGGAAAGGCGGCAGAGGUAGAGGACAGAGCACCCCAUUGCAAGAGCAUCAGAAUCAGGAUCAGGGUAGGAAGAAUACAAUA